GCUUGCUCUGGUGGCGAGUGGCGAACGGGUGAGUAAUAUAUCGGAACGUACCCUAGAGUGGGGGAUAACGUAGCGAAAGUUACGCUAAUACCGCAUACGAUCUAAGGAUGAAAGUGGGGGAUCGCAAGACCUCAUGCUCGUGGAGCGGCCGAUAUCUGAUUAGCUAGUUGGUAGGGUAAAAGCCUACCAAGGCAUCGAUCAGUAGCUGGUCUGAGAGGACGACCAGCCACACUGGAACUGAGACACGGUCCAGACUCCUACGGGAGGCAGCAGUGGGGAAUUUUGGACAAUGGGCGAAAGCCUGAUCCAGCAAUGCCGCGUGAGUGAAGAAGGCCUUCGGGUUGUAAAGCUCUUUUGUCAGGGAAGAAACGGUGAGAGCUAAUAUCUCUUGCUAAUGACGGUACCUGAAGAAUAAGCACCGGCUAACUACGUGCCAGCAGCCGCGGUAAUACGUAGGGUGCAAGCGUUAAUCGGAAUUACUGGGCGUAAAGCGUGCGCAGGCGGUUUUGUAAGUCUGAUGUGAAAUCCCCGGGCUCAACCUGGGAAUUGCAUUGGAGACUGCAAGGCUAGAAUCUGGCAGAGGGGGGUAGAAUUCCACGUGUAGCAGUGAAAUGCGUAGAUAUGUGGAGGAACACCGAUGGCGAAGGCAGCCCCCUGGGUCAAGAUUGACGCUCAUGCACGAAAGCGUGGGGAGCAAACAGGAUUAGAUACCCUGGUAGUCCACGCCCUAAACGAUGUCUACUAGUUGUCGGGUCUUAAUUGACUUGGUAACGCAGCUAACGCGUGAAGUAGACCGCCUGGGGAGUACGG
rnacentral:rRNA from 1 species